CAGCAGCUGAGUGCUCAGACUUGGCAGCAGGAAUGCUGCCAGCAACAUCAGGUCCAGAUUCCCAGAUGAAUCACGGACCAAAAACUAAAAGGCGACUCUGCAAGCCGUGUGCAGGUCGGCCAGCUACGAUAUAGAACAGAACAGUUCCAASUUUCUUCUUUGACUUUGACUCUGUCCCAUUGAAAGCACAGGAUGGGUGACAGAUCCUCUGAGCUGGACCUGCAGCAUCAGCCAGAUGCCACAAAAUGGGCACCAAAAGGCGAGACCAUCUCAAA